CUACCCCCCUCAGGCCAGCAUUUGGCAUAUUCUCUCCAUCAAUUUAGCUCUUCUCUAAACCCUCCGGGGCCACAAGCCUACAAAAUCCAGUUUACGCUAACAAAUAAUCACAGCGAGUUAAUAACGUGUGUGUCUGCGUGCGUGCGUGUCUCAACUUUUUCAUCUGGAAUUGUUAAGCGUCGAGUUCUUUGAUAUUAAGCAUCAAAGAACAAUUUCUCUUUUCAAAUUCUAAUCUCAUCGGUGGGGCUGAAAAGGUAUAAUGCAGGGGAACUGUGGAGAGUUAAGAUAGGAGGAUCACAACCAGCUACUAAUCAGGAUUGUUAUCAAGAUUCCAAGAUGUUUAUAUGUAGACAAAGAUGGCUACAUGAAACGGCUAUUGUCUCGGGCUUGUUAUUAGACCUAAUUACUGAUAUGAGAAGAGGAGAAGAGAAGAGGUUUCUUGCAUCGCGUCUCCUGCUGGGAUGUUAAAUUGGGGAGGACAUGUUUAGCGCAGAUUGUUAUUUGUCUGUAAUCAGUGCUUUCCUGUCAGUCACGAUGGCUGCGACGAGUAAAAGAGAGGAGGUAGAGCGAAGCAGGAGAAGGAGAAGUGAGACGUCUGGACGGCAAUCAAGCAUACCACAAACAGGAAAUAUAACGAGGGUUAACCACUUGACCCCGUGCAUGCCGAAGGGGCUCCGCUCAUACCUGGAUCCACAGCCGCCGACUGGAGCCACGUCUCCCGCUGCUCCGCAGAGGCCGCAGCCCCUCUUGGUCUUCAGCCUGGCCCCGUAGAUCACGGCUGUGUCAUGGAGCCACACCAAAAGGGAAAUGUGCCAGACUUCAUUAAGGGCAGAUUAAAAGCAAGAGGAGGCCACUUUAACUCUGAUUUAUUUUCACUGUGAGGUUGCUGGGCUGACUACAGGCCCGCAGCGGCUUCAACCUCAGAAUGAUGAUGUCAUGGUUUCAGUGUUUGCUAAGUGUAAAUAUCAGAUUGGGAAGGAACUAUGUCCUCAGCACAAGGGUUCAUCUCGGAGUUUCAGAGAGAAGAAAACAAAAAAACUACAGAGAAUGACUGACUAUCCUCCAUUUUAGAGCUGAAACAAAUCAUUAGUAACGAACAGAAUAUGAAUCUGUAACCAUUUAGAUAAUUGAUUCAGUGAUUCAUCAAGCAAAAGUGCUAAAUAUUCAGUGGUUCCAGGCCCAUAAAUGAAAUUAUAUCCUGAGUCUCUCUGUUUCAUAUCAUAAUUAACUGAAUAUUUUUGGUCUGUCUGUCCACCGCUUUGUUCCAGACUGAAAUAUAUCAACCACUGGAUGGAUUGCAAUGAACAUUUCUACUGACAUUCAAGGUCCCCAGAGAUUGAAUCCUAAAAGCUUGUUAUCCUUUGACUUUUCCUCUAGUGUCACGACAACAUGUUGACAUCAACAUCAGUUGCAGAGAACACAUAGACACAUUUUUUUUUGCACAGAUAUUCG